rnacentral:lncRNA from 1 species
GCUCUAUCUACUGAACUAAGCGGGCGGGUAAUGACCUGAAAUUGAACUAGGGAUAUACGAAGCAAAAAAAUACGAAACUGCAGCGAGCGUCUUUAAGAGAAGAAUGUGUCUGAAUAAUCGUGGCCGAUCAAGCAAUUAUAUCAUAAAAAUAAGCUUAAUCACAUUCCCAGUAAAACAAAGCUUUCGAAUCAAUAAACACUUAGAUAUAUAAGACGAUUCUAUAGAGUAAACAAAGAGCAAAUGGAGAGAAUGUGACACUUAAUUGUAUUAAUUUUGUGAACGUGAAGACUCGACUCUGACAUUGAUUAGGCAGAUUAGUCGAUUGAUUCCUUGUUUUUAACAAUUUGUAAAGAAAAUCGUUUCUUAAGUAUCCCUUCGGCAUCUCUUUCCGACGUACUUGUCUUUCUGACGGUUGGCAUUUAGAGUUUCCUGUAAUAUCGCGGGACGAUAUUUCACGCUUGAUCUGACCGCAUUGUAAACAGGGAAAGGAGUUUCGAUCAUUUUGACAGCCGGAUAAAAAUGGAAAUAAGAUAGUUUCAAAGUACUGUUAAGAGAAAGUACAUGACUACCUACACCCUACAGGACGUAUCAGAUGCAUAUCACAUGGUAAAAGAACACCACAUACCUGUGUAACGUGUUGACAAACAGUUUAGCAUCCCAAUUACUACAUUAAAGGACAGACUAAGUGGGAAAACAUCCGUAGAUGUCCUAAAGUUUGUUACUCCUCCUCUAUUCUCAGAGGAAAAUGAAGCAUUUCUGAGUCAACAUCUUAUUACAAUGGCUGAGAUUGGUGUUGGGUAUACCCGCCAGGAAACAACUAACUUAGUCACUGAUUAUGCUUCGCAUCUUGGACUUAGAGAACAAGACAAACCUCUCACUAAACAGUGGUUUUAUAAAUUUCUGAACAGAUGGCCUGACAUUAAAGUUGUGAAACUUAGAUCUUUGGAGAUGCAUUUGUCAAAAUGUUCAUCCUGAAGAGCUUAAAAGUUGCAUCAGCCUAACUAUUAUCUCUUGGGCAUGCUUGUAUAAAUGCAAUGGCUGGGUACACCUAGAAUUCUGUUCCCCAGUCAUGGCUGUAAGAAGAGGAGACUCCUUCCUGUUUUAAAGUGCACAGAUACAGAGAAGUAAACUGUAACAUUAACAUCUGUCGGUACAUUGUACAUAGUGUUCUAUUGUGUUAACAUUUAUAAAAAUGACUAAAAAACUUAAAGUGUUAAAACUUUACAAAUUUAGUGUUAAGUUACUGUUGGACAUGUGUCAAAUUUAAACUUUGAUGAAAAAACAUGUAUUGCCGUAUUUUUGGGCAAUGACUGUAGCUUACAUCAUAUCGGUACUAAGGUGAGUGCCGCCAUAUUUGUUUUGAUUUUAUAAGAUUGGAAACAUGUUUUCGGCAAGAUAUUCAAACAAUAUAUGUUGGGCACUUUGUUGUUUACAGUUUUACAGUUUUUUAUAAUUUAUAAGGUUUGUGCUAUAAAUUCUUCUGUUUGUCAGCGUAUACCGUCAGAAAGAGAUGCCACCGGAUAUUGAUAAUGGUAUGGAAAUAUCUGAGAAAGAAAAUGUAAAACUGCCAAGAAAAUUCCACAUGCUGAUGAUAUAUUAUGUAUCUUGUUUCUAAGUGUAACAAAAUAAUUCAAUGCAGAUGAGAUAUGUAUAACGAAACAUAGGCCAUAGGAAAUAUUUUUUAGUUAGAAAUUAGGUAUUGCGACAAACCUUGAUAAUUAAGCAGCUUUCAUAUGAACUGUAUUAUAUUGGAGUGCAUUGGUCAAAGUCAUUGUUACUUAAAGUAAAAAUACAGUUUUUGCUCAAUAACUUCUUUUAGGAAUGAAAUGCUUUUAAUGAAAAUAUAUAAACGGUUUUAGUUUCAUAGUUUCAGUAAAGAGACGAUAUUGUCACCAAUUUUGUAAAUUAUUUCAUCCAAUUUUGUGGACUGAAAAUGCAGUGGAAACUGAUUCUGCCGGAAAAAAUAAUUUUAUUUGUUUCUUUUUAAUGAUACAUUUGUACUAACCUUCAGUAUUUUUUUUUAAUUACCAGCGAUAUGAAAUGGUUACUCUAACACCAAUGUGGCAGUAAAAAUCUACUGUAUAAUUGACGUUGUUUUUUUUUUUUUUUUUUUUUUUUUUUGUAACAAGGUUCUGUCUUGAAUUUUCUAUACCAUGGAUAGAACUCCAAGGAGUAUAUUGGUGAAUAGACGGGAAGAUAUAUAUAGCAACGACGUUUUUAACAAUGACGUCGCUUAUGUAAAUGAUAAAUAUUUCAAACGUGUCGUAUGCAUCAUUGAAAAAAAAAUGAAAUUAAUGCAUAAAUUGCGUAAUUGCAGAUUCUGUAAAUAUUUAUAUCAGUAGUAAAUAUUAUUUAGCAUUCAGAGACGGUUUAAAUAGUUUGAUGAAAUAUGUUUCUUUUAUCUUCCGAAGGGUACUAUUAUUUUCUUUCGGCUUAUAAAAUGGAAAUAUGUUGAUUUUCGGCGCGAACUGUCGUUUUUUUUUGCAGAUCUGGCUAUAUGUCUGUGUACUGAAAGUAUAUCCGCGCCUGCUUGUAUUAUGUUGAUUUAGUAGUGUUACCCUGUUCCUUAGAUUGAUGGUUUCUCCUACAUGACCGUCUUUACAACCAGAGCAGCGUAUCACAUAUAUCAUACGCUUAAUUUCGAAAGUUGCUGAAAAUUUUGAAUUCUGAAAUAUUUGCCAUUUCUGAAUGUGUAUGUUUUCUCUUCUAGAAGAUGAGAGCAUAAUUCACUGUUCCUACGGCCACAUCUCGUAAUUAUGUAUUCUUGUUUUACGUCGUCAAAUUAAGCGCGUGUUAAUAAUUAGCUGGUUGUCUUUUUCUACUGAUUAAAUUGUGUUUGUCUA